rnacentral:rRNA from 1 species
UACGGAGGGGGCUAGCGUUGCUCGGAAUUACUGGGCGUAAAGCGCACGUAGGCGGCGAUGCAAGUUAGGUGUGAAAGGCCUGGGCUUAACCCAGGGACUGCACUUGAUACUGUGUUGCUAGAGUCCAAGAGAGGGUAGUGGAAUUCCCAGUGUAGAGGUGAAAUUCGUAGAUAUUGGGAAGAACACCAGUGGCGAAGGCGGCUACCUGGCUUGGUACUGACGCUCAGGUGCGAAAGCGUGGGGAGCAAACAGG